GUGCGAUAUAUAUCGGCAAAGAUCUGACAGCAGCAACUAGCUAGCUCUAUCGAUAAGUUUAAUACGUCUGCUCAAUCUGUAAUCGCAUUUCAAUGUAUUCAUUUCAAUUUGAUAUCCACACUUAACCUCUCAGGCUCUCUCUGUCUCUCUGGUAUGGUAAUACCCAUUCGCUGUCUGCUCGCUGCUCUUUGUCAGGACUAGACGCUCGGUUACAGUUCAUAAAUUCAGCGAAUUAUGAGCCGUAACGUUUCCACUCCUGAGCGGAAGCGCGACCAUUGCAAUGGCCAUGGCCAGAAGGCGCAGCCAACAGAAUUUAUAACAGCAAAGCUGGAGAAUGAAAGCUGGCUGCCAUAAGUCUUGCAGAGCACUCUCAUGUUGCCCAGCUCGUACAGCAUUAUAAUAUUAUGCAAUAUGUAUCUCUCAGUUGUGGUGGGGCGCGGUGGUGCGGCUAGCCACAACAAGUUGCCGUCAUAAAUUUGGGUUUUGUGUUUA